UGGGGAGUAUUGGACAAUGGGCGAAAGCCUGAUCCAGCCAUGCCGCGUGUGUGAAGAAGGCCUUCGGGUUGUAAACUGCUUUUGUACGGAACGAAAAGGCUCUUUCUAAUAAAGAGGGCCCAUGACGGUACCGUAAGAAUAAGCACCGGCUAACUACGUGCCAGCAGCCGCGGUAAUACGUAGGGUGCGAGCGUUAAUCGGAAUUACUGGGCGUAAAGCGUGCGCAGGCGGUUCUAUAAGACAGAUGUGAAAUCCCCGGGCUCAACCUGGGAAUGGCAUUUGUGACUGUAGAGCUAGAGUACGGUAGAGGGGGAUGGAAUUCCGCGUGUAGCAGUGAAAUGCGUAGAUAUGCGGAGGAACACCGAUGGCGAAGGCAAUCCCCUGGACCUGUACUGACGCUCAUGCACGAAAGCGUGGGGAGCAAACAGGAUUAGAUACCCAAGUAGUCCCUGAGCGGGCUGGCAAGGCGCAU
rnacentral:rRNA from 1 species